rnacentral:lncRNA from 1 species
UAAAUUUCUCAUCUUUAAUUUUUUCUUCAAAACCACCAUUUAUAUUCCAAGAUAAACACUUUAAAUUUUUAAUUAAAACUUCCGACGAUUUCUAUGAUACUUGCAUACCAUUUUCAUUCAUGACAUCAGCACCAUCAUGAUUUUGACUUUUAUGUAAAACAUUUUCUGAAUCACUAAAUUUAAUUUUUUCCUUUUUUGCGUUUGCAAUAGCAACAUCAAGUGGACCACCUGAAUAUAAAACACCUCCAAUAAACAAUUUAUCCUUAAUAAGCACUGCUUUCACAUCUGCAUCACGAGCUUUCAUGAUUUCCUCUUUUCCACAACAGAUUUUGGAUAUUGAUCAGUAAUAGAAAUGGACGAACUUUUCAACUUGUAACUCCUUUUACGAACACUGUCAC